rnacentral:ncRNA from 1 species
UGGAAUAAAGCGUAACCGGGCAGUCUACUAAUGACUCCGGCCUGAGUUUCCAUGGAGAACCUUACGCAACCGCGACGUUUCUGAAAUAAUACUUCAUAUAUCGUUCGUAUACGCCUUUCGUUUAUGCACUUUUCCGUUUCUCUCUUUUGGAUUCGCAGUAUCCACCAAGAUUUGUCAAUUACUGCAAAUAAACCUUGAAUAGCCAAAUGCCUCGUCAUCUAAUUAGUGACGCGCAUGAAUGGAUCAACAAGAUUCCUACUGUCCCUAUCUACUGUCUAGCGAAACCACAGUCAAGGGAACGGGCUUGUGAAAAUCAGCGGGGAAAGAAGACUCUGUUGAGCUUGACUCUAGUCUGACUCUGUGAAGAGACAUUGAAGGUGUAGCACAGGUGGGAGGCCGGUGGUGCCGCGCCGACAGUGAAAUACCACUACUUUGAUCGUUUCUUUACUUAUUCGGUCAAGGGGAAGGAACGGUCGCUCGCGUGGCCGUCUCACGGCGCGCGACGACAGCAACUUUUGGUGCAGAGCCCACGGGACGCGUGCCCCGCUGUCGGCGGCACGUCGAGCACCCGUAGCAACGCGAGGUGCCGUCCAGGGCGAUCCGCUCCGAAGACAGUGUCAGGCUGGGAGUUUGACUGGGGCGGUACAUCUGUUAAACGCUAACGUGGGUGUCCCAAGGUGAGCUCAGCGAGGACAGCAACCUCGCCUGGAGUAAACGGGCAAAAGCGCACUUGAUUUUGAUUUCCAGUACGAAUAGAGACCGCGAAAGCGUGGCCUGGGAAGUUGCCCAUCUAGAAAUUCGUUGGUCAUUCCUCCGCUGUUUUCCAUCAACGAUGAAGGUUCGUUUUAUGCAGGAAUUCAAGGCACUCCAAUUAUAGUAACCAUAAUGGUCCCUAAGUCUUCACGUGAAAAGAGCUGUCGCACAUCCCUCACUUUAAAUAAUCAAAAGUUAGAAAUGAUCAAUCUUAGUGAGAAGGGUAUGUCGAACGCCGACAUGGCUCGAAGGUUAGGCCUCUUGAGCCAAACAGUUAGUCAACUGAUCAAAUAAAAACAAAGGUUUUUCAACGAAAUUAGAGGUGCUACUCCAGUGAACGCGCGUAAAAUAAGAACGCGAAAUAGCAUUAUUGCUAAAUAUGGGGAAUAUCCUGCUGGUAUGGACAGAAGAACAAACUAGAGACGACGUUGCUUUAAGACAAAGUACAGUGGAACCGCGAUUAUAACAACCUCGAACUUAACUCUCGAUUAUAACAAUUUGCUAAGGAGAACAAUAGGUUACAGUAAGACAGAAUGAUGUGGAAGUUACGACCGCGAUCUCGCGGCAUAGAAAGGUGAGAUUACUCAGAAACAAACGCGAAUCACAGAAUUUUCGAAAAAAAGAUUAAAUCUUUGUUGGUGCUGUUAUAGUUAAUUUGAACUCAGCAGUCAUGCAGCCAGGUUUCGUUAAAAAAUGAAGCUUAAAGUACAUGAAGACAGGGUAAACUGGCAGGGUAAGCAGGGAGCGGCUGACGUUGACGCAGAUCAAGUUGCCGCAUCGUUCACGUUGACGCAUCGUUCACGUUGACGCACCGUUCACGUUGACGAACGUUCACGUUGACGAACGAUUCACGUUGACGCACGGGGGUUAGGUAGUUAGUUACCGCUUGUCCAUCGCUAUUUUACCGCCGUCCAUGCGUUUUUUUCGCUAUGUGCAAUGGCUUAGAGUUAUCUCGCUUUCACUUCGACCUCAAUGCUCUGUUGAUGCUUUGGGCAUUUUAGAAUUUGGAAUGGGCCCAACUCCCGAAUUGUCCUGAAUGGGUUGCGAGUCGAUAGGUUGGACGGGUUGACAUCUUGACAUCCCGAAAUUGUGAAUUUGUCAAAACGUCGAAUGGACUGCAAUGUGGAAUAGGUCGAAACGUCAAAGGGCCCCAUACUCCUCAAGAUAGAAAUUCUGAAUGUGCCGCGAUUCCACAUGGGUCGUAGGGCCCAAUUGGCCGAAAUCUCGUGACGUCAGAAUCCUGAAUAAGUC